rnacentral:rRNA from 1 species
GACGAACGCUGGCGGCGUGCUUUACACAUGCAAGUCGAACGCAUCCUUCGGGGUGAGUGGCAGACGGGUGAGUAACGCGUGGGAACGUGCCCUUCAGUUCGGGAUAACCCAGGGAAACUUGGGCUAAUACCGGAUACGUGCGAGAGCAGAAAGAUUUAUCGCUGAAGGAUCGGCCCGCGUCUGAUUAGCUAGUUGGUGGGGUAAUGGCCCACCAAGGCGACGAUCAGUAGCUGGUCUGAGAGGAUGAUCAGCCACAUUGGGACUGAGACACGGCCCAAACUCCUACGGGAGGCAGCAGUGGGGAAUAUUGGACAAUGGGCGCAAGCUUGUGCCAGCCAUGCCGCGUGAGUGAUGAAGGCCUUAGGGUUGUAAAGCUCUUUCGUCCGGGACGAUAAUGACGGUACCGGAAGAAGAAGCCCCGGCUAACUUCGUGCCAGCCGCCGCAGUAA